UACGUAGGGUGCAGGCGUUAAUCGGAAUUACUGGGCGUAAAGCGUGCGCAGGCGGUCUGCUAAGAGAGAUGUGAAAUCCCCGGGCUUAACCUGGGAACUGCGUUUCUAACUGGCAGGCUUGAGUGUGGCAGAGGGGGGUGGAAUUCCACGUGUAGCAGUGAAAUGCGUAGAGAUGUGGAGGAACACCGAUGGCGAAGGCAGCCCCCUGGGCUAACACUGACGCUCGAUGCACGAAAGCGUGGGGAGCGAAACAGG
rnacentral:rRNA from 1 species